rnacentral:lncRNA from 1 species
ACCUAACACUCCCAAAAUCCGGAACCGCGUAAAUCACAAGCUAAGAGUUUACAUAAAAAAGCUCUUACUCCAGAAACAUCUAUCAACAAGGAAAAUAUAGAAGGGCUAUACUAGUACUGAGAAUAGAAAGGGAUUCUUUGGUCUGCGGACGCGACAGAUAUACCUCGAAGUCUCUAUGAAAAUGCCUCGCCUCAAGUGUGAUAAGACUGAGUGGAAGUACCUGGAUCUACACAUGAAAAACAUGCACAAAAAAGGGUAUGAGUAUACCACAUUGGUACUCAGUAAGUGUCAAGCCUAACCUCGGUUGGGUAGUGACGAGGAAGGUCAGGGCCCUACUGAGGUUAAAUAAACUACAAGGUAUAACAGUAUAGAAAAAGACAGUAUAAUUAAGUGCAACAGUAAGAAAUAACACAGGAUCGAAAGAACAACAUCAAUUAUAACAGAGACAAGAUAAUCAGGGAAAGGAAUACAUCUCAACAUGAAAAUAACAACUGGGGAUCUCUCGGUAUCCCGAGGAUCUCUUAGUAUCCUCAAUAUGUGCUGGGGAUCUCUCGGUAUCCCGAGAAUCUCAUAUUAUCCUCAAUACAUAUAUGCUGGGGAUCUCUCGGUAUCCCAAGGAUCUCUUAGUAUCCUCAAUAUGUGUUGGGGAUCUCUUGGUAUCCUGCACUACUGUCCAAAUCAAUAUAUAUAUGUGCAGGGGAUCUCUCAGGAUACCGUCUCAUAGUCCCAAAGUAAACACGCAGCAACAACACGAAGAAUAUCGAUUAAAUUAAAUUCCACACCAAGGAAAAAUAGGUAUUUCUAAACUAGCAUGCUUCACAUAGUCCAAAUAAGGCAGUUUGAGCAAAUAAAGCAAUUAACACAAUUAGGCACGAUUCCCUAAGCUAGUAGCAGGCUUGAAUUGCAAGUAGAAUAAACAGAAAAGGAAAACACAACUAAAGUUACUUAAUGAAAAUAGGAUUUUCAACAAUUAGCACAAGUACGCACUCAUCACCUCACGUACAAGGCAUUUCAAUUAUCAACAAUACCAAAUCCUAAGGGGUGUUUCCCCCACACAAGGUUAGAUAAGCCACUUACCUCGAACCGGCUCAAAAUCAACCCGAAAUCACGUUCUUGCCAUGAGUACUCAACUGCAAAUGGCCCAAAUCUAUUCAAAUAAAUUGCAUAAUGUAAAUAACACUUCAAGUAACUUAUUCCACUAAUUAAUUCUAAGCUAACACGCGAAAUUAGGAAAAAAAUAACCAAAAUGUCCUCUGGGCCCACGUCUCGGAAUCGAGUAAAAUUUACAUUUUCAGAAUCCUCAUACUCUCACGAGCCUAACCAUACCAAAAUUAUCCUUGUCCAAUGUCAAAUCCCCAAUCAAAACUCGAAAUUUAGGUCUAAGAACUUUCCCUCAAUUUUCAUCCAAAUUUCGAAAUUAAAUGAUGAAUUCAUGUUUAGAUUAAUAGGUUACAAGUAAAAAGGAGUUAAGAAUCGUUACCUAAUCGAUAUCUCAAAAAAUUCCUCAAAACCUCGCUCAAAUCCGAGCUUUCAAGCUCUAGUUUUCACAAAAAUGGCUAAACCCUCGAUUUUGAACUUAAACAUUCUGCCCAGAUGCGUUCUUCUUCGCGAAUGCGAGGCAACAGUCGCGAGCGUGAUGCACUAAAAUUCCACUGGCCAAUCUUCCUCUUCGCGAACGCGACGCCCGAGCUGCGAAUGCGAUGAUCAUUUUCUCUUCUCCUACGCGAACGCGAGACUGCCUUCGCGACGCGUAGGCAUAAGGUCCCACAGCCUCGCGAACGCGGGAUUACCUUCGCGAAUGCGAAGCAUAAAUCCUCUACCAGCCCCAGUUCCUCUUCGCGAACGCGAGAACCCCACUCGCGAACGCGAAGAAGGAAACCAGAACUGACUGCUGCAACUUUUUCUGCAAUUUUCUAAGUUCCAAAAAUGACUCGUUGAGCAUCCGAAACACACCCGAGGCCCCCGGGACCUCAACCAAACAUGUCAACCAAUCCUCAAACAUCAUUCAAACUUGUUCCAAUCUUUGGAACGCUCAAAACACCAAUUUAACAUCGGAUUCAAGCUUAAGAAUUCUAAAAACUCACAAAUUACGCUUUCGAUCAAAAAGUCUAUCAAAUCUCGUCCGAAUGAUCUGAAAUUUUGCAAGCACGUCACAUUCAACACUACAGAGCUAGUCCAACUUCCGGAAUUCCAUUCCGACCCCGAUAUCAAAAUUUCACUAUCGAACCGGAAACUUUAAAAAUUCAACUUUCAGCAUUUCAAGCCUAAAUAUGUUACGCACCUCCAAAAUACAAUCUGAAUAUGCCCCUAAUCCCGAAAUCAUCCAACGGAGCUAACAGAACCGACGGAAUUCCAUUCCAAGGCCGUCUUCAUACUGCUCCGACUACGGUCCAAAUUCUAAAGCUUAAGCUCUCAUUUAGGGACUAAGUCUCCCAAAACACUCCAAAACUCAAAACCAAACAUCCCGCCGAAUCAAAAUAGAAGAAACAAACUCGGGGAAAACAGUUAGUAGGGGAUCGGGGCGUAAAUUCUAAAAACGAUUGGCCGGGUCGUUACACUUUGUAUAAUUUUGAUAGUCAGGUCCUGUUCUAGCAUAUACACCUAAGAAGAUGCAAAAGUCAAAGAUAUCACAAGUCUUAACUUCAAAUAUUAACACAGCACAUACUGUAGUUAGAGCUGGUUUUCUACACAAUUUGAACUGAACGGGGCUGCUUAAAUUUGCACAGUAUUUUGCACCAAUUCGAGCUGCUGAAAUUUGUAGCUUGGGACCUCAUUUGAGCUGCGAAAUCAGUAGGCAUUGGGCCAAUGUUUGAGAGAAAAUUUCAACACUCUUUUGAAGUCAUUGGUUGUGAGUUUGCUGCAGAAUUCACAUACCUGCAGUUCAAUUUUCCUGCCUAGUUUUAGCUGCUUUGGUGCACCAGUUUGGUUACAAAUUGUGAUUGUGUUUAUUAACACAGCACAUACUGCAGCCUAGUUUUAGCACCAGUUUAGUUACACAAUCAGUUUACUCCACACACUGAUUGUGUUUUGACAACACCACCUGCAGCAGAAUAAGUUGAAAUUUGCACAUUUCCUGAAUCUGCUUGACAGCUGAAAUUUUUGCAGUGUUACAAUUAUUUCUGCACCAGCUUGGGCCAGUUGUGUUUUUAGGAGUCCACUAGUUUUUCUGUCAUGUUUUUAAUCUUUCUCUUCUUGUUUGUUAAGUAACUCUUAACUAGUGUAAACAUUAUAUUAGUUCAUAUUAAGUUUACCUUGUUCUUUGUGUGCUUAAUUUUUUAAAUGAAUGGAAUUGUUGCUUGCGUCUAAUUGAAAAAAUAUGUGUUAGUCUUUCACUUCUUGAGCCAGAAUAACAGCUAUUCUGAUGGACCAAUCUCUCUUUAUAAUGGACAAAACAAUCAGUAGUUUGUGACCAAAUCUAUUUACCUUUUUGUUGUUGGUUUUGCUAUUCUAUAUUGUGUUUGCUUUUCAGAAUCUGAACAAUGUUUGAAUAGUCAUGAAUCAAGAAGGGUGCUCAAGCAAAAAGAAGAAAAUCUCCAACCGCAUUCCAACGGGAUUACUUGCAUCAUUGCGAAAUCAAAGGGUUUCGUUGUUGACAACAAAAAGAACCUUUCAAGCUACAAGGUCAACUGAAAAUGAAGAAUGACAAUCAGAAGUUGGAUUACCUCCAUCUUUGCGAAACCAAAAGGUUUCGUUGUUGACAACAAAAAGAGUCUUGAAUAUAAAGUCAAAUGAAAAUGAAUAACGACAUUCGGAAUUAGGAUCUCAAUUGCAAGAACAAGUGCAGCAAGUGCCACGGAAUUCCACCUCUUCAGCAGCAUAAGGAGUACAUGAACAAGUGCAACAAGCGAAUAUGAAUUCCAUCACUCCUGCAUCACAGGGAGUACAUGAACGAUCUGAUGAUUCUACCAAUCAUGAAGCAAUUGAACAAAUUGAGGAACAAGGCAAAUAUAUAUAAAUUUUAAUCAUAAAAUUAACUAAAAAUAGUGAUUAAUGAUUAUCUUUGCUUUGUACUAUUGCAGGCCCCUCCUCGCCAAAAAGAAAAAGAGGUCGUACUCAAAUGCCAAGUGUUCAUGGUAGAAAGGAGCGUAAAAUAAUCAUUCUAAAUGAGUAUAAUCAACCCGUUGGUCCUACUAAAGAAGUUGUUAAAGAGUUGGGUAGCUUCCUCGGCACAUUGGCAAGGAGUGGGACUUUUUGUCCUCUUAAUGUAUUUAAUUGGAGGAAACUACACACGAAAGAUGAUAUGUGGAAAUAUAUCAAGGUAUGAAGUUCUCAAUGUCCAAUAAAUAUGGAUGGUAUUUCUUAUUUCUUACACUAACCCAAUUGCACUAAAUUUGUAGGAAAAAUAUGACAUUCCUGACGAGGCGAAACAAUGGGUUUUUGAAUCAGUUUGUAGUACUUGGAGAAAGUAUAAGAGUCAAUUGAAGACAAACCACUUCACAGCCUAUGCGCAUGAUGAGCUUCGAAUGGAAAAUAGGACAGUAGAUGUUUCGAAAUCUCACUUUAAGGAUUUUCUUAAAUAUUGGAACUCCGAUCCUCACAAGGUAAUUACAUUCGGAAUACCUUUUGUUCACACUCUGUAAACUAGAGAUAAAAAAGCUCAACUCUCUGCAUUAGUUUAAAGGGCAUGCUUCAUUUAAUACAUUUGGGGGCGGGAGAGUACAGUUAAUGAAAUAUAGGGGGGUUGAAAAUCGACUAUCUUUAUGUUGUUCAAGACAGCUUUACUUUUCCUGAGUAGGCAAAUUGAAUGUAGUGGCUAUGCUUUAAUGUGAUAAUAAGGAACUGAAACUAGUUCAGAUUUAUGGUCCCUUUUUGAAACAAGGGAAAACAAGAGGAAAAGAGUAACGAGGGUUAUGAAUUCAAAAGUAGCUAAGCAAAUGUUGACUCGUUUAUUUGGAGAAAAUGUCCUAAACCAAAUACAGAAAAUCGAAAUAAGUUGAAGUGUCCGCACACUGCUGGCAGAACACCUUUUGCUCUAAUUCGCGAGGUUUGAUGUUUUAUUUUUCUUAUUUAUUUAUUUUUAAAUUAUGAAGUUGCUAACUUUAUAUGGAAAGAUUGUUAUACCUGAUUUCAUGUAGCUAGGAAAAAAAAAAGAAAAUCUCUGAUACUUCAGAUACUCUAUCAAGUAAGGACAUCUUUGUGGCUACAAGAAAAAGAAAACUUAGCCGAGUAUACAAAAGCGCAUACGACAAUACGAUUAGUAAAAUUGUACGAAAUUUCUAAUUUAAAGUUUGUCGUGAUUAUAAAAUUAGAAAUUUCUAAUUUUAGUUACUUAAACUCUAUUCUCUCACAUUUGGUUUGUAGGCUGAAAUGGAGAGAAUACAAUCAACUCGGGAAAGUGAAGAUGGCAGUCAUUCAGUUGACGCUUAUGCAUCAGUCAUGGGACCUGAACAUCCAGGUCGCGUGAGAUUGUAUGGACGAGGGGUUACCAAGACUGUGUUAAAAGGGCAAAAAGGGAAUCUUGGAUCUUCUUUAGAUGCUACUGAUGAGAGGAUGCAACAGAAAAUGGAGGAAAUGGAAGAGAUGUUGCAACAAAGAAUGCAUGAAAAGUUGAACGAACAAAAGGAUGCUAUGGAACAAAAUAUUACAAUGAACGUCAUCGCACGACUUCAGCGUCUGAACCCAGAUUUGUGACUUGAUCCUGACAUGUUAAGGUUCAGUGCACGUUCACCUGUAGAAGCUUUCUCUGCACAACAAGCUGCUGUUCAACUAAACAAUCGACCAUCUGCUGGUAGUAACAAUCAAGGUCAAUACGUACCAAUUUAAUGUUUACAGCCCUUGUCCAUGAAUUACUCAUAAACAGAAGCUAUGAACUAUAGACUCGCUCUGUGUGUGUGUGAAGACGUUUUAGCUGAAAGGCAUGUGUAAAACUUGAUUUAAGAAAUUGGUGUGAGUGUGGGGUGGGGGCGCAAACUUUUUAGCUGAAAGGCUAGUGUGUGUAUGUGUGUAGAAUUUUUAGCUGAAAGGCCUGAGUAAGUCUUGAUUUAUGAAACUAGUGUGUGUGUUUAUUUUUUCCUGAUUUUGAGUAAUUUUGCAAAAGAAGCAGUUAUGAUCAUGAUGAUUUUUUAGAGAAAAUGGAAUUGGAUAUUAUAGUUACAGGCUUGUAUGUUAGCAGAGAAACCUAAAUAUAUGUAAAAUAAAAAUGGAAUAAAAAUUGGAUCCUUUUAUAUACCCGUACUGUUUUUGUCUGCUGCAUGUCUUCUGUUUCUCUUCUUGUUGAUAUUGUGCUGUUUUUUGAACCAAACAGCAAGAAAUCACUGUAAACAUGUAAAAAUGCAGUGUAUGCCAUUGAACAGCAGCAGUAAACACAAAACCAAAAGGCAUAAAAAUCACUGUAAACAAUGCACAUUCUUCCUCCAAAACCAAAAGGCAAGAAUCCCAUUUUGUGUUUGCAUCCACCGUACAUGUCAUCUUUAAACCUUUCUGGUUUGAAUUCGUUAACGUCUUCACCCCAAAGCUGCUUGUCGUGGUGCAUCGGAACCACAUUCGUGAGUAUUCUUAGACCGGAUUCUCUUGAAGGGUAAUAACUUUAUUUAUUCUCUUUUGUAGAUGGAGUAGAACAAGAAAUAGAUGAUGAAGACGAUGAAGAACUAGACCUUACUUGAGAUGAAUUUUGAAUUGUCAUAGAUGAAUGUUGUAGGAAUCUUUUGUUACCAACAUUUUUGAAACUUAUUUACUCUCUUGAAAUGUACUAAACUUAUGCACUCAUAGGGUAGAACAUUUGCUUUAUGGAUAUUAUUUGCUUGAUGGAUAAUUUUAUAUUAUUAAUAGUUUCAUUUAUGAUGUAUUUGAAUUUUGGUGUUAUUAAUUUAUUAUGUGUAUAAAUAUUUAUUUAUAACAAGUGCUAUAUUUUGGUUUUAAAUGAACUGAUACAAUAGCCUAGCAGAACCGCUGCAAUAGGACAUAAAUGGCGUUCUAGUAGACAAUAUAAACCGUUGCAAUAGGUCCUGUAAACGGUUCCAAAAUUAUCUACAAACCGUUCCAAAUACAAAUAUAACUGUUACGAUAGCUUAAAUAAAUCGUUGCUAUAUCCAACGUAACUGUAGCAAUAGCUUACAUAAGUGUUGCUUUAAAUAAUAUGGUAAUAGUUAAGAACCAUUGUUUAAACAAUAUAGUAACGGUUUUAAACCGUUCCAAUUGGAAAAAAUAAUCGUUCCAACAGAGGAAGGAAAAACCGUUGAAAUAGAUGUAUCUAUAGUCAUGGCGAUGCAAACCAUUGCAAGAACCGUUCCAAUAGACCUAUGGGCACGCGGGCUGAUGUAAUGGUCUGUAAACCGUUCCAAUAUCCCUAUGGCAACGGUUUGACAGUCUGUGGGAACGGUUUUUCAAGCGUUACCGUAGACCAAUUUUUCAGUAGUGUUCGUGCAUUAUCACUCACAGAAUACGGCAUGGCAUCACCCUUCGUGCAUUAUCAAUCACUCACAAUACAUUGCACGGCAUCACCCUUCAUCCUUUACACUUGUCAUACCCCCUUUUUAUCAAACUCACCAAACCCUCUUAAAAAGAAUAAAAAGAUUUAGUGAAAAGCUUGAAAAGGGUUUUCAAUUUUGAAAGUGACAAAAUUUGUAUUCAAAAGGAAAAUAACUCAGAAUCACCACCUGACUUUGAUUUCGGUAUGUCAGGUCACCGAUUUUCUUUUAAAAUGACUUUUCCUUUUAAAACAUUUCAGACUCUAAAACUAAGUCCGCACCAGAGAAUCGGGUAAGGGGGUUCAUUUGACUCGGGGAGAAGGUGUUAGGCAUUCCCCAAGUCCCAUAACUAGUACGGUUGCGAACUCGAUCAAGUUGGCUACUAAAAUAUUCAAGUUGAGGUAAAAUCACGAAAAAAUAAAAUAAACACACAUGAGGCUCGAGAUCGUCCCCACCUAAUAAAAGAAAAUAGAAAAUAAUAAUAAAACACUACAAGUUCUACUUUUGACUUCUCAUUACAAAGUUCUACGGGGCAUUCCUCGGAAUAAAAUAUAUACAAAUCUCUCGGGACAUUCCCCGGGUAAAUUUAACUAAGGGAACGACAUCUCGCCUCGAAACUAACAAAAUCCUAAGGCUUGCCUACCCGUGUUAGCAAACCUAAGUAUACUACUGAUUUUUGGCAAGUAAAUAAACGAAAUUAAUAAAAAUCAACACAUGCCUAAAUAUUCGAUUUUAUUUACAAGCUUAUAGUCUAUUAUUUAAUUUAUUUACUAAAUGACGUGCAAAUCAAUACCACUUAAUCACAAUUAUCCCCAACCCCACUUAAUGUCUCCAUUCAACUUAAGCUUUAAUACAAAAUAGUUGAUAAUUAAAGUUCCAAACAAAACAAGACUCAAAGGAAUCUGAAGCCAAAAUUUGCAAGUAGUUCACAAAACAACCAUUGAAGCAUGAACAAGCAUGAACAGUAAACAAACGCAAACAACUCAUGGAGAUAAACCCAAAAAAAACAAAGGAAAGAGAAAGAUUGAACCUUAGAUGAGUCCCUCUUUUAUAUUGAAUAGUAAAACUCCAAAUCAAGUGCACAUCAGUAGUUGCUUCAAGCCUACGAACCUGGACCGGAAACCUCGUACGGACGCCCCCCAAGCUCGAAACCGAGAAUGCCUUCGUGAGUCUAAGGAUAACUGGGACACUCUAGUCCAAACCCAUCCUCUCGUUCUCACUUUGUUAUCAGAUGUUAGGAGACUUAAGCUAUUUGUAAUUCUUAAAAGGAUGAUAUACAUUAUUUUCUUUCUAGAUCAUGACGAAACUUGUUUUUCUAUGAAUUCAAGAAUGAACACUAACAGCAAACUCUCUUGAGUUUUUUUGUUUUUCUUUCGCAGCUUGCGGAUGCUGCUGGUUGACAGCAGAGGAACGGCGGUGGCAGGGUUGCUGGUGGGUUAGUUGGUCGAUGUUUACCUGGUUGUUCUUCGUUGGUUUUUGGAAGGGCCAGAGGUGGAAAGCUGUUGGUUUGUCGCCGGACUUGCUGCUGCGCGGGAGGCUGGUUGACGGAGUGGCGGCGAUGGGUGGUCGUUUGCUUGAUGAGAGGAGGAUAUGGGAGCUGAUCUCUUUUCUGGCGAGUUUGGUCGUGUUCAGGCUUCUGAUGGCUUGGAGUCUUUUUGGGUCUCUCUUACUAUGGUUCAGCUAGCCUCUCGAAGAAGACGAUGGGCGCCCCUGGGGUUCUUAAAGUUCAGCUAGUUUUUUUUUGUGUUCUAGUCUAAGGUUCUAGAAGCAGACCCUAGGGGUGGGGUGUAAGGGUUUAAAGAAGAAAGGGUAUUGGGUUAGGUCUUGCUGGGCUUAAAAAUUGGGCCAAAAGAUUAAAAAUGG